GACAGAGGGUGCAAACGUUGCUCGGAAUUACUGGGCGUAAAGCGCGUGUAGGCGGUUUUGCAAGUCGGGUGUGAAAGCCCUCAGCUCAACUGAGGAAGGCGCCCGAAACUGCAGAUCUUGAGUACCGGAGAGGGUGGCGGAAUUCCCCAAGUAGAGGUGAAAUUCGUAGAUAUGGGGAGGAACACCGGUGGCGAAGGCGGCCACCUGGACGGAUACUGACGCUGAGACGCGAAAGCGUGGGUAGCAAACAGG
rnacentral:rRNA from 1 species